CUAUUAUUUGUAACUGAGGUGUGAAACAUCUGCAAGGUAAAUUUAUAACUUAUGCGAUCUGUGAAGUGGCCCUUGGGGAAUUUGAGAGGUUAAGGGCCAGUGAUUUUAUUUUGGCCUCUGAUAGAAAAGAAACCCCUGCAACACUCACCUCAGAUCCCCCAAUAUCUCUAGAGAUUUACCCUCUGUUUCCCUGGGGCUGUCUGAUGUUUACUGUUGCUAGCAACCAUGCAGUUCCCUAGCAACUGUUGUCAUGAUUCAAGCAACCAGGGCAAGUGUUAAAAGCACAAAGAGAUAAAAAUCACUUGAGGAAAAGCAUGCAGGACCGUUAAGAGACCGUUUAUUUCCCACAGACGGGUGGGGGGGGGGGGAGAGGAGAGAACUGGAUGAGGCUUAAGAACAAGAAUUGAUUUUUUUUUUUAUACCACAAUUUCUUUUGUAUUUGGGCAACAAACCAAGCAGGGUGAAGUGUGCUACCUAUUUCUUAUUGUUGUUUCAAGCCAAAUCUGAUUCCUUUUUUUUUUUUUUUUACAGAAAAUUAACCGUUAAUACUUAGUGUUCAAUAGGAAACCAAGGAGAGGAAUGUUGACUUGUUAAGUACCAAUGCCAGCAUUAUGCAGGAAUUAUCUGUUUGCUAGAUAUGAGCAGAGGUGAAAUUCAAACCAGAGACUUCCUGAUUAGUGACUCAGUUUUUCAGUCACACCUGCUCCUAAAAGCAUAAGAACAGCAGAACAACAACCUAAUUACUUUGGCUUGGGAUGUAUUCAUGCGACAACUGAUCCAUAUCGUGCCUGGGAUCUCUUCUACAACUUACAAAAACAAAACAAAACCCCACCCUCCAAUACAAAACAAAAGAAGAGUGAUGCCAAACAGAUCAGUUCCUUAAGAAGCAAAUCAUGGAUUAUGGAUCUUCCUCUGGUCUUAAUGUGUGAGGCUAUGAUUGUUGGCUGUAGUCUAAAUAUUACAAGAUAAAUAUUACAGGAUAAAUUGUCCUCCCCAUUGGAAAGAAAAGGCAUAUUUCCCUACUGAGACUUCAGUAUCCUAUUGUUCCCAGAUGAUCACAAAUUCCUCAACAAAUGGACAGAUGAAAGACUGAAAUUCAAAGGAAGAGAAAGAAAGAAAUAGAUAGGAUAGAGAAAGGAAGGAAAGAGAAGAAGGAGAGAAAGAAAGAGAAGAAGGAAGAAAGAAAAGAAGUCCAUUUCAGUCUUUUAUGGUUAGGAUUGGUGGGUACCUUCCUUUUCUCACUUAGCUAAUUUACUAAAAUGUAAUCCAAUCAAUUAGGCAGGGCUGAAAGACAACUGUGGAGUUUGCAUCCAUGGUAGCACCAUGGGAAAAACCACAUUUGUAAUAGGAAAACCUCCUAGACACAACAGAAACCUCCUUGUGCUUCAGCUGUCUGCUGUGCUGUAACAGGCAUGUUUCUGUGUGCUGAUCCUAAUAACAUCAAGCCUUUUGCAUCCUCUGAAAUAUGCAUGAGAUAGCCACAGCGCACAGGUUUGUCAGCACCAUAUUUCUAACUGAAGAGGGAGUUGCAGAAAGGAGCGACCAUGGGUAUGAAUGUGUGACUCCAGUUAGGCCAGGGGUGAGACAUAUGGAAACCUCUAGAUCAGGGGUGUCAAACUUGAUCACAUCAUGUGAUGUAUUAAGGUGUAUUGUGAUGUUUUUUGCCUUUGCAGAGCCAGGUGGGCGUGGCCACGUGACACAUCCAGCCCACAGGCCACCAGUUUGACCCCCCCCCCCGCUCUAGAUGUUGUAUUCCAAUGCCUAUGAACCUAACCAACAGGGAUAAUGAUAGUGAUAGGCUCCACAGCUUUAAAUAAAGGCUAAAAUGAGAACUCAA